rnacentral:lncRNA from 1 species
AAUUUUUCGUAAACAAAAUUUAAUACAACCAUAUAGUCAAGUAAUAAUGGUUAAAAGACAUUUUAUUAGAUACAACUUUUAAAAAAUUAAACUAUGCAAGAAGUAUAUUUAAACAAAACAUGUAAGUAAGUAUUCACGUGCUACAACUUAACUAAGAACAAUUAAAUACAAAGCAUUCUUUCCACUAUGAAGACUCUGGAGCCUCUAAUUGAAAGCAAAUGACCUUAGGUCUAUACUAGUUGUAAAGCAGAUUAUACUUUUGUUCAACUCUAAAUUUGUAUUGUCUUAGAGCUCCAACAACUCUCAAUAAAAAUUUAAAUAAAGAAACCUUGGGGGAGGGGUGAUAGGGAAGGGGAGAGUAAGUGCUUUUUCAAAAAGGUAAAUGAAAAAGCCUGAAGAGGGAAAAAAUUGUACAUAAGUAUGGAACAAAAAUAAGUAUACUUUUUUGACAUUCGAUGUAGAUACUGCAAAUGAAUUUACACGGGUUUAAUCAAUGUAAGAUAGAUAUUUGUCUGAAUAUUUUAAAAAGCACCUAGGUAUCAAAAAAUAAAAACAAAAAAUAUAAUGAAACUCCAAACAUCCAACAAUCUCCCUUAACAUUCUCAUUCUGCCAAGCAACCACACGUUGGUGCUUAUUACACAAUUUAAGAAGGGGAAGUUUAUUUACUCUAUAGGAAACAAAUAUGAACCUUAUCUAAGGUAAGCUUCAUUUAGAUUGAAAAAAAAGUUGAAAUAGCACUAGAGAACUUAAGGCACAUAAACAAAUUCAGGUGCAGUUAUUUUGAAACCAUUAAAACAAAUUCUUUUCUUUGGAACAAUAUAUAAAAUAAGUUAUGAAUGUUGCUGUUUUUAUCAGCACUAGGAAAAUUUAAUAUCUAAGGCAAUCACACAAAUGUAAAAUGUUCAUAUAAAACAUUAAAAAAUGUCUAAAGUGUCUCUGGAAUUAUAUAAAUCUCAAGACAUAAAAGGCACACACAAUUCAACUCCUCUCUUUUCAUAUAUGGGUUCUCACAGCAAUUUAAAAAAUCUAUUGCCAUAUCCAGACAACAGGAGAAAAAAAAAAUACCUGGUUUGCUUAUUGACAAAAGUGGUGUAAUUGAACCUUUGUCUUUCCUGAGUUUCAAAAAGGCUAUUUGACAGUAGAGAUACAUAAACAAUUCAUAUUCAGUAAGAUAAAAUGUAUCAGUCCACAAAACAUUUUCAUCUUUUUAAGUAUAAAAGAAUCAAUGUUCAACCACCACCAUGUGUGAAGCCCCUUUUUCCAAAUUAAACUUACUCUAGAAUCAUGAAUUGAAGAUUAUUCAGUCAUGGCACUUUACACCCCAAACGAGCAAAAGUAACAAGUUAAUACCCUCCCUGAGUAUUUACAUCAUCUUAUCACCUGGUUUAAAUGGAGUAAAUACCUAUAUUUCAAUCAUCUAGGAAAUAAAAAGGUUACUGAAGAUCCAAUACACUAGUAUUUCAUACCUGUGCAGUAAAGUCAGUGGGAAGAUUACAGUAGAAAAGGAGGAAGUUCUACUGUUGUAAAAAUUAGACCACUUUUGUAGCUGACUCACAUAGAGGAAAAACAGAAAAUGAUUAAAGUUCAUGAAAAAAAAACUAUACUUUUCUGUUCUACAAAGCAUACCUUUGAAUUCCCUUUCCAACUGAGGUAUCACAGCUGGGUUUAGCAAACUCAUCUCUUCUGACCUUGUAAAACUAAAUUGUCAUAAAGAUUCUGAUUAUACAUAAGUCAUCGUUACUAAUACUCAUCAUGUACUUUCAAAUGUAAAAAGUUCUAGAAAUGCCCAAAUAAAAAAAAAUUCCAGAAUUGAAUUUAGCAUGGUCAACUAAUUUUUACUUUAUGUGCUUUUUUGCUGAUCAUCACAGACUGCUAAAAUUCAUGGUGUUUGGUAUAUAUGUGUGUAUACAACCAUACUAUCUACAUACAUACACAUGUACAUAUAUAGAUUCUAAACCAAAGGUUCAUAUGAGCAUCACCUAUCAAAAGAAAAAUCUUUAUGUGAUGAGAGAAUGAAUACAAUCUGACACCAAUUUGGUUGAUAUACCCCUUUUGAUAUAUUAAUUCUACUCUAAAAUUCUUUUUUAUUUUAUCAAGUCUAAUGCUAUUAUUUAUCAAGAAUUAGUAAAGGAAGAUAAAUAUUAAAAAAUUAAAAUAUUAAGUUGGGUAACUUUAAAAAUAGUUAUUUAAAUUUUCUAAGAUUCAACCUAAGUUCUUGGUGGCCUUCAAUAUAAAUUUUAAGUACUUAAUUUAUGUAGUUUUAAAUUAUGUAGAGAAAAAAUUAAUAUUGGUGUGAGGUCUGUGUUUAAAAAAAUUCUGUUUUUCAGGAUUUCAUUUCAAAUUUACUAUAAUAAACACAUGGAUAUUAAAAUAAAUGUAUAACAAAAUAAAAGUAAAUAGUUAAUACUUUUUACAACAGAAAAAUACUAGAAUAUAAAGUUGUCUUGAGAAAGUCUUUUUUUAUGUGAAGUCCUAUAUUCAUGAAAUGGACAUGAUCUUACAAAUACACAUGAAAAUAACAACUAUCAUUUGUAGAAUCCUCAGCAUUUACAAAAUACUUUUUCACACAUUAUCUCAUUUACUGUAAAGAAUUUCUUAACUAAAUAAUUCUAUUAUCUAUAAGAGUAUAAUGCAGAUGUUUACUCUAAAAUUAAAGUACAAGUAUCCAAACUGUACCUACAUUCUUUCAACUAAGAGGAUAGAAAAUUGUUUUCUGAAUUGUUGUUAUCACAAAAUGGUAUCUAUCAUUUUAAAAUUAUGAUUUGAAAAAUAAAAAUUCCCUAAAAAUUUUUAAGUUUUUUAGAGUUUUCCUCAGAAUGUAGAUUCUAGCUAAGCAUUAAAGUUUAAAAAAUGUCUAUCUGAAAUCUCUGAAUCAUUCUAAAAUGAGAAAACAAUGUAGCUUACCAAUGUUAGGCUUUUUAUUUCAACCUUGGUUUUAACAGAAAUCUGGUGACACUUUAAUUACAUAU